rnacentral:lncRNA from 1 species
GUUGAGUACAGACCUUCUAUGCAAGUGCUGUACCACUGUGUUUUGAUUCCCAUUUUAUUUUAUAUGUGUGUGUGUAUACAUUUUUUUAAAUUCAAUUUUAUUAUUUUUUCUGAAUACUGUUUUACUAUGUAGCCCUGGCUAAUCUAGAAAUGGCUAUGUAGACCAUGAUGUUCUUGAACCCAUGGAGGUUUGUUGUCUCUACCUCCUGAGAGAUUAAAGGCAUGUGCCACCAUACCUAGCUAUAAUUUUUUAUUUUGAAACAAGGUCAUACCAAGCUAUCUGGGUUGACCUUGAACUUAGUCUGUAGCUUAAGCAGGCCUUGAAUUUAGGGUCCUUCUGGCUCAGCUUCCUAAGUAGCUGGGAUUGCAGGCCUAUACCAGCAUGCCUAGAUGGGAUAUUUCUCCCCAGUUAAAUGUGAUGUGUAUAGAUUGGAUAAAAAUACAUAUUUCAUAAAGUAAUUUUAACAGUAUAGUAUUGUUAGGGGAAGGUUCUCUUGUCUCUUAUAUACGGUUUGCUUGGUGUUUAGGCUGAGGCUAAUAGAGAAAGUGAUGGGAUGAAAGGUGUUAAAUUUAGCCUCUCAAGAAACUUGGCCUUGUUCUCUUAUCAGAUACAGACAGAGUUUCCAGUUCUAGUCUUGGCACGUGGAAGAAAGUCAGUUUUUUAAAGCUUGAGGUUAAAGUUUUUAGUUGACUUCCACUGUAUGGGUGAAAAUGUUCACACGCUCAGUUAGUGACCAAAAGUAGCUGUAAUCACAGUAACCUAUGACUUUGGCAAGAGUUGUGUCUGAAUUGAGGAACCUGCCAGUGUUGUUCUGGACAUGGACAAAGAUCUUUUAGACAGAAUGACUGGUUCUUGUUGUAUAAGAUAAAGUUUUAAGCUGGCUGUUCUGCUCACACCUCUAAUCUCUGAUAAAGCAGGCAGAUUGGGACAAGGUUGAGGCCACCCUGAGGUGUAUAGUGAGAACCUAUCUCACCUCCUUUUUCCAAGAUGUUUUAGAGGUAGUAUCUACAUAGUUCAGUUUUAACUUUUUAUAGAUAGAUUGUGCUAAAGCUUCUAGGCUACUCAGGACUGGAAACACCAGCCUUUCCCCUAGACUGUGUCCUCUUCCAUGUGGUCCCUGCUGUCCCUCAUGUGACAUACUCUUUGUUGACAGGCGAUUGGAAUGGGAAAGCUGAACAGUGUAAUUUGUAUUUAUGCAUUUAAGACUAGAACGGUAGUGAGUGUUUGGCAUGUGACAUGCAUUUUGUUAUAGCAACUGGAGGUGUUGAGUGUAAGACACAACUUCUGUACUUAAGUUCUGUAGUUAGAAUUGCAAUAAAAAGCAUCGUGCCUUAAGCAUCCCUGUGAAAUAGAAUUUUCUGUCAUGUCUGAUCAGUCCAGUACACUGUGUGAUAAUUCUGUAUGCCUACUAAACACUUAAAUGCAAUAAAGGAACUGAGUUCUAAAUGAAUAGUUAUCCAUGCCAGUAGUUACAACACUGGAAAUAUUAAUCUGGAACAGUUUUGAUAGUUCUGGCUGGGGGCUAGGAGUGUAUUUAUAUUUUCUUUCAUAGACUAGCAAAAACCAUCUGUUUUUUAUCUCUGGGAAGAAAUGCAGGCAGAAGUUGUCUCUCUCCUGUAAUUCAAGAGCUUGAUAGGAUCCUUAGCAGUUACAGAUCCUUAGCGUAGGUGACACCCCCCACCCCUUUUAAGUGCCAGCUUGAUGGAUAUUUGCCUUGUAGAGUCAUUAAGACCACAGUAGAGUUAAGAAAUGUGGUCCUUCUGUCAUAACAUUAUAUGGAUGAGUUUGUGUGCACUUUUCCCUUAAGAUCCAGUGACACUCUGUAUAGCACACUACUACCCUUUACCCUGCACCUUUAUAUUUCCUCAAGUAUGUUGUUGACUUAGGCUGCUUUAUUUGAUCUUCUCCCAAGUCUCUCUAGAUAGGCACUGAAGGUGCUCACCCUGUUUUAGAAACAGGGAGACUAUGAAAGUAAACGUAGAGUGACUUGUCCAAGGUCAUGUGUGAGGCACAGAGUCAGAAGCGUUGGCCCUUGAGGCAAGAGGUAGAGUUUCUUGUCCCAAUGUUGCUGUUAAUGUAAUGUGACCCCAAACAAGUGGUAGUCUUAUGUGUGUCCUUUCCUAAUGGCUAGUAAGUCUUUCUAACUUAAACAGCCUAAGGUAGUUGUUGGAAUAAAAUGAAGCAACCUGUGAAAAUUCUUGGAAAUUGGUCAAUUCCAGUUACACAAAGGCAUGUUAUUAUCAAGUCAAGAUCUCUGGUACUUCUAAUCUGCUGCCUAGUAGCUGAUCACAUCAUUGAUCAUAUUAAAUGCUAUUUUGUGAUAAUGUCUCAUUGAUUUCUGUCUUAAUCAUUAUAAAACUUUGUCUUAGUCAUUGUGUUCUGUUUAUAGCUACAAACCUAAAUCCUAGGACAACCUGAUAAUACAGGUGUUUAAUAACAUUUGCUUAGUGAUAUAACCAAUAUUUAGAUUUACUUCAGGAAGUUUGCAAACAAUUGUUCUUUAUAGUUUGACUUGAAGUUCUUUUGGAAUAGUUAUUACUGUGUUUGCUGUAUAGAAUACAUGGGGUGACUAGUGUUUGAGUCAGUUGAUGUGACUAAUAUUAGGUUGUAGCCUUUGUGGGUCGCCACUAUAUUGCUUGUUUUGGGUAUUGUCAUUUAGACUGAACUUACAUAUGGGGUGCUUACAAGUUGUAAGUUGUAAGCAGCACAAAGUCAUACAAUGACAACCUUUAGAGAAGAUACUUUGAAAAGGGUCCAUGUGGAGUUAAGAAGGAAACUAGUGAUCAACAGGGUGCACUUUAUCUUGUUCCUGUAGUAUUUACUUCUGGCACAACUACCUACAGCUGCACUCUCUAAUAUCUAAUCCUGUAUAGAGAUGUGUGUGGCAGUUUUAAACCUACACUUAACCCCCUGAAAUAUCCCUAUAUUGGUAUUUAGGAAGUGGGUUUACCGACUUCUUCCCAGAUAGUUAUUCUGUCCCUGUAUUACACGCACUGGUUUGGACAGAUAAGGUGUGUAGAAUUCUUCUGGAAUGCUGUACAGGAGUGCAGUGGUGUAAUUGCAGAAGGGGCAGAUGCAUUGUGCCUCUAGGGUAUAUCUUCCUUGGAGGGUAGCUUCUGGUUUAAUUUUCUGUAUCCCAUAUCUGCAGUUGGAUGUACUUACACUUUUCUUGUUGCAAAGUUAUAGUUUAUGUGGACACAGUCUAUCUUUAGUUUUUUGCUUUUAUUUUUUAAUUGAGUGAGUGUAUGCCAUUUUGCAUAUUUGGUUAGAGGACAACUUGUAGGAUUCUGUUCUCUCCUUUUACCACGUGGAUCCUGUGGGUUGAAUUUAGGUCCUUAGCCUUGCUGAGUCAUCUCACAGGCCUUGCCUCCAGUUUUUACUGAAUUAAUUAUAAAUCUCUAAUCCUGCCUUUCAAACCCCUUCAAAAUUGGGCAUUGCUUACAUUUAAAAAAUUAUUUAAAUUAAUGGAAAAAAAGGUAUUUGUUUUUUUAAGGCAGGGUCUCACUUCAAGCCUAGAACUCACUAUAUAGACCAGGCUCACUAUAUAGACCAGGCUGGCCUGAACUCACAAGGAUAAACCUGCCUCUACUUUCCUAGCUCUGAGAUUAAAAGCCAUACCAUCAUGUCUGGCCUUUUUCAAAUAAAAUCCUAUUAUCAUCUACAAUAUCAUCUUCUUCCCUUUCCACUCUGAGCAUCUUGUUCCAGAUGUGGAUAUGUUUUAAAACAUUAGAAAAAUUGUGUGUGUGUGUCUGUAUGUCUGUCAGUUAGUCAUUGUGAAUAUCUGUGAGUAUAUGCCAUAGGUGUGCAGGUAUCCAUGGAGUCUAGAAGAGAGUAUCAAUAUCAGAUUCCUAGAGCUUGAGUUACAGGCAGUUGUGACCUGCUUAAUAUGGGUGCUUGGGUUUGAACUCAGGUCCUUUGGAAGAGUGGUAAGUGUUUUUAACUGCUGAGCCAUUUCUCCAGUCCUGUUUAUUUUUUGUUUUUCUUCUUGUUUUUUUUUUUUUUUUUUUUUUUUGUUGUUGUUGUUUUUUAAUAGAAGGAUCUUACUUUGAACUUGGUCUUUCAAGUGUUAGAAUCACAGGUGUGUGCCAUUAUACUCUAUUCCCUGUUAUUACUGUCUUUUCUUUUAUGAUUGCCCUUUCUUACUCUCAUUGAGUACCUAGUUUUCUUGUAAUCAGUGUCCAAUUUGUAUGUUCGAUAUCCUUCUUGUUCCCUGAACCUACCUGGUUUUCAGUUCACUGUAUCAAAAGUAGUCUUUUCCAUGAAUUCUAUGGUUGCUUAUAAUUUUUGCAUUUAGCACCUUAAUGUCCCAAUUUACAUCAUAGUUAUUGUAUGUUAAACUGUAACCUAAUUGAAAACAGGAUGUGGAUCUCUUAGUCAUGUCCUUGGUGUUAACACUGUCCAUUGUAUGUAAUAAAUGGUUAAUAACUAUUGAGUGAGUCAACUUUGUGACUUCUUUUCUUCUCCUCUCCUCUCCUCUCCCCUCCCCUCCCCUCCCCUCCCCUCCCUUUGUCCGUUUGUCUGUCUUUCUCUCUCUCUCUCUCUUUCUCUCUCUCUUUCUUUUGAUAUAGGAUUUCACUGUGUAGUCCUGGCUCUUUUGGAACUCGCUCUGUAGACAAGGCUGUCCCCAAACUCAGGCCUCUGGCUCUGGAGGGCUGGGAUUAAAGAUGUGCAUAAUCAUGGCUUGACUCAAUCUGGUGGUUUCUGUUAGUGACUGAAUUGUCACAAGCAGUCAGGUUGCUGACAUUUUUAUUAAAUCUCUGACAUGAAGAUUAAUAUAAAUUUAUUGUAUUAAAUUGUAGUAAUAGUAUUAUUUUCUUUCAUCAUUCAUAGUACAUCUUAUCUUUUAUUUUUCUAAUCUGAAAUCAUACAUGUUUGCCUAGUUGUUAUUGUGAUAUAUACUUUGCUCCAGUUAAUAGCUAACAUUCACUGGUCCCUUACUAUUAACUAGGACAAGCCCUAAAUAUAACUCUUAAUUCUUUAAUUCUCCCAACACCAGUGAAACAGGAUAUUCUCCCUUGAGUUUUUCUUUUUUGUUUUUGUUUUUGUCAGACACAGGGGACAUGUAACUUUUUAGGGACUGGAGAUAAAGCUCAGGUUAAGGGUUAAGAGCACUUGGAGCUUUUGUAGAGGGACAGUAUUUGUUUUCUAGCACCACAGAGCUGCUAACAACCAUUUGUAAUUCCAGUUUCAAAGGACUUGGUUUCCCUUUCCGUCCUCUUUGGUCAUUGCAUUGCUAGCUGCAUAGACAUUCAUGCAGGUAAAACACCCAUGCAUGUAAAACAAAAAUAAAUCUUAAAAAAAAAUGAUGACCUCAUGUUCUAGCCUAAACCUACUCAAUCAGAAUUUCUAAAGUUGAGGUACAGGAAAUUGCUUUUUCCAGCUAAAGUACCAUAGAUAAUUUUUAUGUGUAUAUGGAAUUUGAUAGCUAGUAUAACUUUUUC